rnacentral:lncRNA from 13 species
UUCAGCCAGUGUGUAUUUCUUAAUGCGUUUCAGCGUAUAUAUAUUCUAAAUGUGUUUGUCUCUGUAUAUUCUGUGGUGUUAAGGAUGAGUCCUUCACUGAAGAUGGACUGGACCUGCACUAUUGCUGCGCCGCUGUGGCCAAUGUAGACAGGCCUGGAAGGCUCACCUCAUGGGCAGAGAGGGCUGUAAACAGAACUCACGGAGGACUGUGGUAUCGCAGUAAGCUCAGCAGGCACAAGGUAAGCCAUUCAUACACCCAUUUACCCCCCCCCCCCUGCUCUUCCACCCAAAAGCCUGGGCUAGUGUUAGACCCAUGGAAUGGGCCCAUGCUACCUGUUGGUCAAAUAUAGAGCGGUGUUCCUGUCUCAUACCAAGUGGUGCAUUGAAAUGGUGACUUAUGUCAAUUUGGAGUGUAGUCAAUAAUGUGUGUUUGCAUUUUCGGGAGUUCAUAAAAACUGGAAAGGCCAGCAAUGCUUUCAAAAUGCAAAACUAAUGAGUGCAUGUGAAUGAUCAGUAUGUGCUCAAGUAACAUGCAUGCAUGACUGCAUUUAAUCUGUUAACACUCUUUCACUGAACAUUUCUGUUGUCCUUUCAUGUUCUUUCAGAUGUCCUUUGUGUCCAAUCAAACAUGCAUAUGUUGACCAAUGGGUAAAAUUGUAUGUUUAUUGUGUAGAUCCUCCUCUAAAUAAACAAUGGUCAAACCUCAUGUCUCUAUGAUAAUCUGUUCAAAUGUUUUUUGGAGUUUUUACCCUUGUAGGAUAGCCAAAAUUAGGAAGACUAAAUCAAUGGAGGCCAGAGGGGAAAAAAGUGGUCAAAAAUAAGGGAGCAUUGCUUCAGCUCGUCUGGAUGCUGUGCGAGAAUUAACUACCUGACGGGCUCACUUUCCUCUUGAACUCGUCAUCUUUCUUAUCGAAUCCACAAGACAUAACAAUAUAGAAGUAAGAUGGAUAUAGAUUUUGAGACAUGACAUGUAGUAUUUUAAUAUUUUAGUAAACACUUUUCAUUUACAAAAUUCCUGUUAUUUUUCUAAAUUCUCACAAAAACAAGUUCAUCUCUGAAAUGUAAACGGAGCAAUGAGCAUACCGCAAGCUUUUUUUCAAAGACUUUUACAUUGAAUUCAGCUCGUUGUGCUAAUUUUGCGACCCGUGGAAACAACUUUGAAGACAACCACCACAACAGGUAAAAUCCUCAGUUGCUGCGAGAAAGCUGCACGCUCUGUCAACUGAGCUCUGUGCUUAUUUUCGGAUGUAAUAUAUUACGAAAUCUAACUUUUUCGAUAUACUAUUCAUGAAAUGUUAGAGAAAGGCCUCACUGAACGAUUCAGAGCAUGAGUAAUCAUAUUUAUCUUGGUCAAAUGUAUUUUACAACACAAGGAAGUGAAAUGUCAUCACCAAAGAGCAU